AUCGUUAUUAGACACGCUCAGAUUCUGAAAUUAUAGUAGAAAAAAAUCCAAAAUUGUUCAUUAAAUUUUUUUUUUUUUUGGUUUAACGCGUAACAAACGAAUUCAACAAUUGAAGUUGUUGUUGUUGCGUAGUUUUGCUCUUGUUAAUAGGAAGAGUGCGAUUUGGAAAGCGAUUCGAUGAUGUUUUUUGAUGGUGGAGACUAUCGACCCCUGCCCCAUCCUUCGGGGGAGGGAUUGGAUGUGGACGUGCGAAGAUUCGUCAGUCCACACAAUUUGGAUGAUUUUAAAUUUCGAGGCAGCAAGAUGAAGAAAGGCCUCUCGAAGCAGUUCGAACCCUCGACCGGUGCUUUCGAAGGUUUGGACGUUUUUGAAAAUAACAUCAAGCCUGCUUAUAGAAAAGCUGUGAUGAAGGUUCGACCAAUCUGUCAGACGGCCUGCCAACGUUUUAACAGUGAGAGAUUGGUCGAAGAUGUGGAGGAUGAAGGAGUGAACAAUAGUGAGAGCGCGGUUCCUCCACGAAACACCAAAGCAGACGAAGACCCGGCAGAGCACGAAGACUGCGUGCAAGAUAAUCCUGGCCAUUACAGGGAUAGAAAUAGAUUGAAGAAAUUCGGGUCGUUCUUUAAGAGCGUGUGGAAACCCUUUAAGAGAUCCGUGCAGAAGGUGUACAAAAUGGCAAAAAGUGGAGAAUGCGAGUACGUUCUGUUCGAGUAAGGAUUUCUUUGCUUCUAUCUGUCCAUCGACAAUAAGAUCCCGCUCUGGAAUAAGAUUUGCCAUAAAUUAUUUGCUGGAUCUGGGCCGAGUUGGCUAAUUAUACGGUUUUUUCUGCAAACCAUCGAUAACUUCUCCUAAUUUUGACAUCCCGAUUGCGUCAAUGCCAAGUUCGAUUAUGACUUCCCAAUUUUGACUUUAUCCCGGCUGUGUCUCCUUAUUAAUGUCUUAUAGUCAAUUAUCAUUUACUUGAAUUGGUCUACACGAAUUUGGACUCUCGAUUUAUGUCUACUUCACGAAUCUGGACUCUCCCGAAUUACGUCUAUCCCGGAUUUGACUCCUCAAUUGUGUCUGUACUCGAAUUGGACUCUCCCGAAUUAUGUCAACCCCGGAUUUGACUCAUGAAUGGUGUCUGCACUCGAAUUUGGACUCUCCCGAAUUAUGUCAACCCCGGAUUUGACUCAUGAAUGGUGUCUGCACUCGAAUAUGGGCUCUCCCGAAUUACGUCUACUGCUAAUUUGAUUCAUGAAUGGUGUCUACACUCGAAUUUGGACUCACCCGAAUUACGUCUAUCUCGAAUUUGACUUCAGAAUCCUGUCUAUAUUGGAAUUUAGACUCUUCCGGCUUGUGUCUGUGCUCAAAUUUGACUCCCAAUUUUUGUCAUCCCUGGAACUUGGACUCUCCGGAAUUGUGUUUUAAUUUCUUAUUGGAACGACACGCUCAACAAAUUGAUAUUUGUUAUUCAGACACUAGUAAAAGGAUUAAUUGCAAAACAAAUUUUUUAUACAUAAAACGUUUGAUAAAUUAAUUGAUUAUUAAUAUAUUAAUUAAUAAUUUUAAUCUCAAUUAUAAAUUGUUGUAUAUUUAUAUUUGUAAAACAUUAAUAGUAAUUGUUACGGCCUAAUUAAGGCAUCCAAGCGAUAGUCGAGAGCUCUCGCACACAUUAAAAUAUGUGUUUGGACCUAUAUAAAUGUUAUUAAAAGUCUGUUUAAAAAUGCCUCGAUAAAGAAUAAAACUUAUGUAAUUUGUAAAAACAUAAUGUUUGCAAAAAUAAAACAGUUUCUGCAGAUCUAAUCUUUUUCUGUUCUUUUGUAAGCGCAUUCCUUUUAAGAAAGGAUAAUUUUAGAGAAACAGUUAAAGUGGCAAAGGUACACUUGCCACUCCGAGGGUUUAUUUAUUUAUUUUUUCACUCGCUCCUCUGGGCACUAAGAGGGCCUCUUUAUUUAGCAAGCCUGUUGCGGGUUAAGCCAGGU
rnacentral:misc_RNA from 1 species